GGGGGCAAGCGUUAUCCGGAUUUACUGGGCGUAAAGGGAGCGUAGACGGCAGCGCAAGUCUGAAGUGAAAUGCCGGGGCUUAACCCCGGAACUGCUUUGGAAACUGUAUAACUGGAGUGCAGGAGAGGUAAGUGGAAUUCCUAGUGUAGCGGUGAAAUGCGUAGAUAUUAGGAGGAACACCAGUGGCGAAGGCGGCUUACUGGACUGUAACUGACGUUGAGGCUCGAAAGCGUGGGGAGCAAAC
rnacentral:rRNA from 1 species